UACGAAGGGGGCUAGCGUUGCUCGGAAUCACUGGGCGUAAAGCGCACGUAGGCGGAUUGCUAAGUCAGGGGUGAAAUCCUGGAGCUCAACUCCAGAACUGCCUUUGAUACUGGCAACCUUGAGUCCGGGAGAGGUGAGUGGAACUGCGAGUGUAGAGGUGAAAUUCGUAGAUAUUCGCAAGAACACCAGUGGCGAAGGCGGCUCACUGGCCCGGUACUGACGCUGAGGUGCGAAAGCGUGGGGAGCAAAGCAGG
rnacentral:rRNA from 1 species